ACAUCAACACAUGUAUCUGGUUUCUAUGUGUUAUCAGUGGGCAGAUUGGACAUGCUGAUGAAAGCAGAGUGAAGUCAACACACUGGGAUAAUAACACGUUUUCAUUGAUGUUUCAUUAAGAAAUACCACAAGAAAGAAGAAGAACUGUAGGAAUAAAAUAACUUCUGUCUUUAUUUCUUCUCCUUUUACAGGCGCCACUUCAGGCACCAUCAUCCUUUCUCCUCCAGACCUAAAUCCUGUCCUGAGAAGGAGAGAGCAGGUUCUCCUGCAUCGAGCUCUGGGUCCAUGAUGAGUGCUCGCUCCAUGGAUUUCCCCAUGGAUUUCCCCAUGGAUUUCAAACGGCAGGACCUCUGGUCCCGUGAACGUGGACCUAACCUCUCCUGUGAACGCAGCUUUGGCUCCAGUCCUGAGGAGGAAAGAGAAGUUUCUCCUGCACUGAGCUGUGGGUCCAUGAAGAGUGACCGCUCCAUGGAUUAACCUACAGAUUUCUAACGGUAAGAGUCAAUGUCUAUGUAGGUCAACAGAACCUUUUGAGCUGAACUGUCUUCAGAGUGUAACUAUCCUCGUCCUUAUUCUUUAUUUAAAUGUAAUGCUCCUUUAUCUUUAGAUGAUCCAUAUCAGACUCUAUUAGUCCAGGUUUUCUUCCUUUCCCUUUGGAUUCUCCUGCACCGAGCUGUGUGCUCAUGAAGAGCGACGGCUCCAUGGAUUUCCCUGUAGCUUUAAUAACUCUUAAUCAUCAUUUCCAUUACACUUUCAAACUGCAAGAUUCUAUGUAUUAUCUUAGAUGGGAUAUAACUCUAUGCAUCUACAAGUUAAUGUGGUAACGUGCAUUACAACACUUGCAUUGUUCAUCACUUACUGAUUGUAUUUGUUCUCCAGAGAUCCAGGGAUAAAUGCAGGACCCUGGACAGACCUGGAGAG